rnacentral:rRNA from 2 species
GGUGAGUAACACGUGGGUAACCUGCCUGUAAGACUGGGAUAACUCCGGGAAACCGGGGCUAAUACCGGAUAACUUUUUUCUUCGCAUGAAGGAGAAUUGAAAGAUGGCUUCGGCUAUCACUUACAGAUGGACCCGCGGCGCAUUAGCUAGUUGGUGAGGUAACGGCUCACCAAGGCGACGAUGCGUAGCCGACUUGAGAGGGUGAUCGGCCACACUGGGACUGAGACACGGCCCAGACUCCUACGGGAGGCAGCAGUAGGGAAUCUUCCGCAAUGGACGAAAGUCUGACGGAGCAACGCCGCGUGAGUGAUGAAGGUUUUCGGAUCGUAAAACUCUGUUGUUAGGGAAGAACAAGUAUCGUUCGAAUAGGGCGGUACCUUGACGGUACCUAACCAGAAAGCCACGGCUAACUACGUGCCAGCAGCCGCGGUAAUACGUAGGUGGCAAGCGUUGUCCGGAAUUAUUGGGCGUAAAGCGCGCGCAGGCGGUUUCUUAAGUCUGAUGUGAAAUCUUGCGGCUCAACCGCAAGCGGCCAUUGGAAACUGGGAGACUUGAGUGCAGAAGANGAGAGUGGAAUUCCACGUGUAGCGGUGAAAUGCGUAGAGAUGUGGAGGAACACCAGUGGCNNANNCGACUCUCUGGUCUGUAACUGACGCUGANCGCGAAAGCGUGGGGAGCGAACAGGANUAGAUACCCUGGUAGUCCACGCC